rnacentral:rRNA from 1 species
GUGGGGAAUAUUGCGCAAUGGACGAAAGUCUGACGCAGCGACGCCGCGUGAGUGAUGAAGGCCUUAGGGUCGUAAAGCUCUGUUGAAUGGGAAGAAAAAAAUGACGGUACCAUUCGAGGAAGGACCGGCUAACUACGUGCCAGCAGCCGCGGUAAUACGAGGGGUCCUAGCGUUGUUCGGAAUCAUUGGGCGGAAAGGGUGUGUAGGUGGCCAUGUAAGUCAGGUGUGAAAGCCCCGGGCUCAACCCGGGAAGUGCACUUGAUACUGCGUGGCUUGAGUACCGAAGAGGGUAGUGGAAGUCCAGGUGUAGUGGUGAAAUACGUAGAUAUCUGGAGGAACACCGGUGGCGAAGGCGGCUACCUGGUCGAGUACUGACACUGAGACACGAAAGCAUGGGGAUCAAACAGGAUUAGAAACCCCAGUAGUCC